GGUCUAUAUACCUGCAGAGGACUUCUGACCUACAGCAAGUGGGCUCCCUUCUCAUCUUGAAAACCUUCCAGUGUGAACUCUAGAACCAAGGAAGACAGAGAAAGGGGACAAUGUCAGCAUCAUUGCAAGGGAGGUUGGUGGUUGGAAACCAUAGCCCUUGGAGAAAUGGAAGGGGCCCUUUGUCUGUCUUGUCUCUGCUUUUCUGUGGUACUUGAAGAGAAGUUGUUCGUGGUGGAUUCGCUUUACUUGUGACGAAUCAUUCACGGACAACACUUUUUUCAGUACCAAAUGCUACCUCUAAGGAUUUCCUGGACAUGAUGGCAACUUGCAGAAAGAUGGCGGUUCAGUCAAGCUGGUAGAGAAGCCAAGUAUGGAUGUUUGGCCACGGACAGUGUGCUUGAGCUAGCUGUAAGUCACCUGGUCGGGUUACCUGAGCAUCUGAUCCACCUGUAGGCCUCUCAUCAGUGGGCCGUGCCAACCUUGGUGAGGCAGCUGUGGCUCUGCCCCCAAGUAUCAGCUUACAAGACUUUGAAAAGAGGUCAUCUUCCGGAAGAGAUGUUGGUGCCAGCACCAUUCAGGGUGUGUGACUGGUUGACCAGAGGGGCGUGCACUCUGUUCACCCUGUGGGCCACCUAGUCACCAACCCUCAGCAUCAAUUCCACUCAAAGAAGACUUUCCAGAGAUCCUACUAAGUUUGGGGAUAUGUCAAUGGACUUGAUGGCUGUGCCUGCUCAGUGGACCAGGAUGAACUGUGGUCUUAGGGGUGUAUGUUUACAUAAGAUGCCAUGAGGCAUCCGUGGUAGCUGCUGCAUCACUGUCACAGCCUCCUUGAAAUGUUGACUUCAGAUGUGGACAUGAUGUUGACUUCCCAUGAGGGACCUGAAGUCCCUUCUCUCCUGGGUGUGUGACUGAAUUGUACUUUACUAAGCAUGUGCCUGAGCCUUACUUAUCUGAUGGAUCUAUCUUCCAGUUGUCUAACCUCAAUAUCCUGUCUCUACAGGAGAGUCUGUGAGAUGAUACCAACCUCUAGAAGCAGGCAUGGUUGUCCUGACAUCGCCACACUACCACAGGAACUUCCAGAAUACAUUCUCUUCAUGGAAACUGUGGAACCGCGCCCCCUCUGGUCCAGGAGGACUAACCAGAUUCAAGGCUAUCAGCAUCCCCCUUCAGGACAGUGGAAGCAGCCACCUUUUCGAGAGAGUCGAUGUGUUCUUCACCAGUGUUCUUCGCCAGUGAUCAUGUGUGAUACUUGGAGAGAGGCUGGCCGUGAUGAAUUCGAUUCAUCUAAACGAGUCAUACACGGCUCUCCUCUCUUCUAG
rnacentral:lncRNA from 1 species